rnacentral:rRNA from 1 species
GACGUAGGGCGCGAGCGUUGUCCGGAUUUAUUGGGCGUAAAGAGCUCGUAGGCGGCUUGUUGCGUCGACCGUGAAAACACGGGGCUUAACCCCGUGCCUGCUUCCGAUACGGGCAGACUAGAGGUAUGCAGGGGAGAACGGAAUUCCUGGUGGAGCGGUGAAAUGCGCAGAUAUCAGGAGGAACACCGGUGGCGAAGGCGGUUCUCUGGGCAUUGCCUGACGCUGAGGAGCGAAAGUGUGGGGAGCGAACAGG